UUCAAAUGCCCUCAUUAAAAUGGCUGGAUGCUGUGUAUGUGAGAGAUUGUGUUGUGUGAUGAUUGAUGUGGGAAGGAAGGCUCUUCUGCUGAGGGUGUCAGGAUCCCUGAGCUAGUGUGCCUGGACUACAUAAGAGAGCUAGCUGAGCAUGAGACAGUGACCAAGCAAGAGGGCAAGGCAAGAAACAAUGGUCAUCCAUGGUUUUUGCCUAAUUUUCUUGAAGCUUGAGGUUCUCUCCUUAGCUCACAAAAUGAUGGACUGUGAUCUGACAGGACCAAACAAGUGAACAUGCUCAUUACCUGAGAUGCUUUUGGUUAGAGGAUUCAAUCAAAGUAGCAGAGUAGCAAGUUAGAACUAAGAAAAAAAAAACACAUAAAGUGAUUUUGUUGCUGGACAGAAACUGCACAUGUUUUCUUUUGGAGGAAUGUGGGAGAUAGCAGGACUUGAGAUGGCAAACAGCAUCGAAAGCUGUACUUAGAGCUUAAUUGGCUGUUGUAGCAUCUGGAAGAUUGAAGUAUUGCAAGUAAUGCAGACAGAAGUUGAGGUCAUAGGAUUUUAGUUGAAAAUAGACUCCAUGAAAAAUUUAGGUAGUUGUGAUUUCUAUGGUAAUUUGACCCCAAAUCUUUCUUAUCUGUCCCAUGCUCUUACAAAUUGAGUAAGACCGAAAUAAAAAAUAACUGGCUGUAUUUUGUAGAUGGAAUAUAGAAUCUGUUGGAUUGGGGGGAGGGUAUGGGGGGGACUUUUGGGAUAGCAUUGGAAAUGUAAGUGAGGAAAAUACCUAAUCAAAAAAAAAAAAAAAAAAAAAAAGAAUCUGUUGGGUGAUUAUUAGUAGUAACUCAUUCAGGACUAAAAUG
rnacentral:lncRNA from 1 species